GCCGCUGUGCGCACCUCGGCCGGCCUGCAGCGGGGCCUGCAAUGUGACACCAGCCUGCAGCGGCGGCCACUGCCAGUGUGCGUGUGCGUGUGUGUGUGUGUGCGCGUGUGUCGUGGCGAGUGCCCAUGGCGCCGCCCGCACAGUUCGGAGCAUACGGGUCAUAGUUAAGGUCGCACGUCCGGCUGCCGCCGACGCUGCUCGCUGGUGCUUGGACCGCAUCUACCUCGCUAGUGUUUAGUGGUGCCGAGCAAGUCUUUCAAGUGCCUUCCUCAUGGGAAUCAGCCUCGUGGCGCCAGAGGCCCAGUCAUCUGUGUUUUCUACUUUUAUACGGUGUGAGCGUGUGUGCACGGAGUGAGUGCGCGUCUGAGGCCAGAUCAGGUCCUCAGACGCUGAGACCCGCGGGACUGUUCAGACUCGACGGAGGAAGUGGAGCGAUAUACGCCGGUGGCAUACAAAACUGAGGGUUUGCCUGGUCGUGUCGAUCGUCUACAGCAGUGAUGUCUCCUCACUCAUCUGGUCGUCUUCCCGGCGUCCCGGUGCGCCAUCCUCCAGCGGCGCCGGACUCUGAGUUGCCAGCUCUGCUCCGUGACGGCCUCCGCCGCCCACCGCGGCUGGCACGUCCGGUGCCGGCGCCCGGCCGGCCACCGCCGCGGGUCUGGCUCGGAGGGUGACGGGAGCUCGGAUAGCUCUGGCCGCCCGAGCUGUGCAGACACCAGCCGGCUGCCGUGCAGAGACGACAGAGAGUCAGUCCCGGCUGCAGCUCAGCGCGGUGUGCCUUCACAUCUCUCGCAGCCAGCAGUACCGACUGGAGUCAUCGAAAGGAGAUCUAGGGCGACCAGCAAACAGUCAGGAACCAUGGAUGACCGCUAAAGCUGCUGCUCUACUGUGACCAAUCGCGGUACCGGCCCAGGCAUCUGCCGACAUUAUCACUGCCAUCGUGAUCGUCCGCUGCCACUGCCACCAGCAAGUCACUGCCACCAGCAACCCACUGUCCCAGCGAGUCACUGCCAUCAGCGAGCCACUGCCCCAGCAAGUCACUGCCAUCUUCAUCAACGACUGAGUUCUCCAAUCUACACCAACCAACGGAGAACGACGUCUGCAGGGACGUCGUGAUCGUCUCCACGAUUCCGGAGAGUCUACCAACGGUCCGGCGGUUCCCAGUGGAGAGUACGUACGAAUGCGUACGUAUGGGGCGAUGGGUGACACAUACGUGCAAGUAGCGUGUGUGUUUCAUUGGGAUGGGUGAGGGUUUGAUGGCACAUACACUUGCGUAUGUGUAGACGGUUACUACGUAUGUUUCUUUACGUAGUAUGUGUGAGUAGGUGUACUUAAAGCAGGAGAAACAGGGUAACAGUAAACGAUUCGGGCACAUCACUGGGCCCGAAGUGUGUAGGUAAAUUUGAAAUACCAGCGGUACACUGCCGUCAGUUUCAUCGUAUAACCAGCUACCACAUUGCCACGUUGACCAAUCACUUUGCUGCCAUUAGAUUGUAGAUUGUGUGACCAGCGUAACUACACUGCCCUAGUAGUUUGUAGUUGGAUUGACAUGGGUAAACCGUAGUUUAAUUGACCAUCCACAACACUGCCCAACUAGCUUGUAAUUUGAGUAAGACGGAUAAAUGUAGUUUAAAUUUACUUGACUAGCUAUAAUACUGCCAAUUUAGCUUGUAAUUUGACCAGCCUUAUUACUGCCCCAUUAGUUUGUAACCUGACCAGCCAUACACGGCCAUGUGUGUUUAUAGUUUGAAUGACACGGGUAAACCGUAGUUGAUAGACCAGCCACUAUACUGCCAUGUGUGUUUGUAGUUUGAACGACACGGGUAAACCGUAGUUGAUAGACCAGCCACUAUACUGCCAUGCGUGUUUGUAGUUUGAGCAGCCUUAGUGCUAUGUAAGUUUGUAGUUAGACCAGCGACAAUACUGCCACUAGUCAGUAAUUUGUAGUUUGAAUGAUACGGGUAAAACCGUAGUUUGAAUGACAAGCUUCAAUGCUGUUAGAUUUUAGCUAGGCCAGCGUCAACACUGCCGUUAGGUUUUUGGUAGCAAUGAAACGGGUAAACCAUACUUGAAGGACCAGCCACAACACUGCCCAAUUAGUUAGUAAUUCGAGUGAUACGGGUAAAUCAUGUUUGAUGGACCAGCCACAACACUGCCCAAUAGUUUGUAAUUUGUGCUACUGCCCCGUUAGUUUUUAAAGGGACCCUCCCAUCUUAACAUUAGAUUUGAGUUGAGAUAGCCAAAAUGGGGUCCCUGGCUCACAAUUACCGGUUUCGGCACUCACAACAUCGAGAAAUGCCUUAAAUCGGAAAUAUUGAAUUUCAAAAUUGCAGCAUUUUGAUUCAGAGGGGCUAAUGCAUAGGAAUACCCCUCUGAAUGUGUGACGUCAGCGCAGAUAUCUAACGAUUUUUAAAUGUUUGACUAAAACGUAUUGUAGCACGCGGUGGUAUAUGCUGCUUUGCGCGCAACAAAUGCCGCACUUUCAAAUAAAGUCGCUAGGAACAGCGGAGAUCCCAAAAAGUAAACAAAAGUAAAAGUCUAAUAUCUUGAAAACCGGUGAAUAUUUUUCGAUGAAAUUUGGUAGAUAUUCGUUUUUGCUCUUUCUGAACCGAGCGACAUCACUUUCAUGCCAAUUCAUUAACUUUUUGGAAGGUGGGAGGGUCCCUUUAAUUACACUUUCUCUCCCUCGGAUACCAGAGAUUUGCGGACCAAUAAUAACACUGCCACUAGAAUUUCAUUUACUGCCGUCAAUAUCUCCCCGAUCAGACUGGCCAUUCAACAAAAAAGUUGCAUUUUAUCGUUUAUAAUAACCGUUAAUCUUCACGCAAACUUCUGAACUCUGCUUGAUUGCUUGAAAAUUGUAGAAAAAUUGAAUUUAUGUCAGGUGAAUGUGCUAUAAAAUUUAAAAUUUCCGGUAUAUUCUCCAAACUGUAGAGCAAUUCUUACCACAUCAUCUAUGGGCUCCAUCGAAUGCAACAACUCAACCGCAUUGGACUUCAUUGUAUAACUGUAUAUACCGCUCUUAGAUGAUAGUUUAGUUAGAAAGCACUACGGGUGCCUUGUUUGAAUGACCAGCCACUACACUGCCGUUAGUUUGUAGGUAGAACGAUACGGGUUUGAUCGUAGUUUGAUUGACCAGCCUCAAUGCUGCCUCUAGUUUGUAGUUUGAAUGAUACGGGUCACUUGUAGUUUGGUAGCUGUUUAAUAGACCAGCCACACUACUGCCCUGUUAGUUAUUAUAGGAUUAAAUUGGACUUACUCCACAAGAGAAUCGUUUUCGGUCGGAGCUUUCGACAUGUAUUACAUGUCCUCUUCAGCGAAGGUCGGUAAUCGGGGCGAAAAUAAAACGUUCGGGUCGAAUCGAAUCGCACAAGAUGUCGGUGAGCUGCGCAGAGUUAUUUAGGCCGCUUGAAUUAUAAAAUAAGCAAGACUGAAACACGUGACGACAAUAAGAGUACACUCAAUGAGAAAGUCUACCAAAAAACAAGAACGCAUACCACACAUGUCUCUAAGCCCUGUUAGUUAGUAAUGUCACCAGCCUCAAUACUGCCCUUUUACUUGGUAAAUUGACCAGUCAUAACACUGCCCUGUUAGUAAUGUCACCAGCCUCAAUACUGCCCUAGUAGUUGAUAAACUGACCAGCCACCCCACUGCCCUGUUAGUUAGUAAUGUCACCAGCCUCAAUGCUGCCUGUUAGUAAUAGUGACCAGCAACUACACUGCCAUGUGUGUUUGUAGUUUGAAUGUCAAUGACACGGGUAAACCGUAGUUGAUAGACCAGCCACUACACUGCCGUUAGUUCGUAGUUAGGUUAUAGCGGGUAAAUUAGCUGAAACACUGCCAUUAACUCAACGGGGGAUCUAAUUUUUGUCUCUCCACACCUUUGGUUUUUGUGUUGCACAGCUGUGUAACUCCUAAUUCCGAUAUAUACAUCAUCUCGUAUCCUGCGUUUGCACUUUUUGAACCUGUUUUGUACUUUUGUAGUCUUGUUGACGUUUGUACUAAAUGAUAUUUUCACAAUUUUAUAUUGUGCGUUUGUACUUUCUUACCGCGUGUUUGUACUUUUCUAGUGUGUAUGUUUGUAUUUUUCUAGGGGUUUGUACUUUUUAGGGCGUGUUUGCACUUUUGUACGGGAUGUUAGCAGCUAGUCAUGCGCGUUUGUACUUUUGUAGAGUGUGUUGUUUCUACUGGUGUGUGUUUAUCUCUGUCUGCGUCUGGGUGUAGGUACUUGUGCUCCGCUUUGCGGUGAGCUCACUGCGGCUCGCGGCGGCCUCUGGUCGCCCGUGUCCGCCACACCUCGUACUCUGCUCAUCGCUGCGGGCUGGUCGCCUGCGGCUCGCCGCCCGGGCACCGCCGGCCGGCGCCGACCCAGUUUAGCGUCCUCUAUACAACGCUGGUGCUGCCACCUGCCGCCGCCUGGCCGGACCGCUCUCAUAGAGCGGUCACCGGAGCUGGCGGCGGAGAGAAGGCAGAUCGGCGGCUGCACCGGCCGGCCGUCCGAGGCGCAGCCGAAACCGGGUGUGCCGUCCCGAGCGGGAUCAUCGAGCUUUGGCUUGCAACUGUUAAUGUUAGAUGCGACAUUUGCACAGCUUUUGAUAUUGGUCAUUUAUAUUGGUGUUCCGAUUGUGGAAGUAGUCCAAAUACGAUUAGCUUGGCAAGAAAGACAAGGGCUGGGGAAGCAAAUAAGCAGCUCAUAUACCACUUCAGCUUCGAAUUGAUAGCGAAUACCAAGUUUUCUGUAUCAUGUUUGUGAACUGAUUCGUGUCUAGGUCUGCGUGAAUGUCUUUUUCUGAGGCUUGUAAAUAUCUUAACUCGUAGAUAGGUGGUGUGGGUAGUGGCUAAGUCUCAUCAUACUUGACUAAAUGUUCUGAAUGGUCUGAAUAAAAUUUUAGU